GCCCCGGCUUCCUGCGCCCCCGAUCGGGGCCGCCGCCGGCGGUGGUGGUGGCGGAGGCGGGGGCAGCAGC
rnacentral:pre_miRNA from 1 species